rnacentral:lncRNA from 1 species
CCCGGGGGCCCCGGCGACUUUCCUAAGACCUUCCCCUAUCCCUUGCUCCUCGCCCGGUCCCUGGCAGAGCCUCUGCGGCCUGGGCCCGCCCUGCGCCGGCUGCCCUUGGCCGACGGCUGGCCCCGGUAGGAGAUCACCCGGUGGCACCAGCCCAGAGCGCUCGCCAGGUACGGCGAGGGCACGUGGGGACCCCACCUCCCUCCAGGCCUCUUCAGAGAAGACCCAACAGUGACGCCCCCCUCCGCGGUGGGGGCUUGGAGGUGGGCGGCUGGACUCAAUCCACCCUGGGGGGCUCCUUUCCUUCUUCCUAUUUGUGUGUAUAUCCACAAAUAAAACGCGCGUGGCGUCCGUGGAC